UACGUAGGGUGCGAGCGUUGUCCGGAAUUAUUGGGCGUAAAGGGCUCGUAGGCGGUUUGUCGCGUCGGGAGUGAAAACACUGGGCUUAACCGAGUGCUUGCUUUCGAUACGGGCAGACUUGAGGCAUUGAGGGGAGAACGGAAUUCCUGGUGUAGCGGUGAAAUGCGCAGAUAUCAGGAGGAACACCCGUGGCGAAGGCGGCUCUCUGGGACGGUACUGACGCUGAGACGCGAAAGCGUGGGGAGCGAACAGG
rnacentral:rRNA from 1 species